GACGAACGCUGGCGGCGUGCCUAAUACAUGCAAGUCGAGCGCAGGAAACUGACGGAACUCUUCGGAGGGAAGGCAGUGGAAUGAGCGGCGGACGGGUGAGUAACACGUAAGGAACCUGCCUCAAGGAUUGGGAUAACUCCGAGAAAUCGGAGCUAAUACCGGAUAGUUCAACGGACCGCAUGGUCCGCUGAUGAAAGGCGCUCCGGCGUCACCUUGAGAUGGCCUUGCGGUGCAUUAGCUAGUUGGUGGGGUAACGGCCCACCAAGGCGACGAUGCAUAGCCGACCUGAGAGGGUGAUCGGCCACGCUGGGACUGAGACACGGCCCAGACUCCUACGGGAGGCAGCAGUAGGGAAUCUUCCACAAUGGACGAAAGUCUGAUGGAGCAACGCCGCGUGAGUGAUGAAGGUUUUCGGAUCGUAAAGCUCUGUUGUAAGGGAAGAACACGUACGAGAGGAAAUGCUCGUACCUUGACGGUACCUUACGAGAAAGCCACGGCUAACUACGUGCCAGCCGCCGCCGUAACAC
rnacentral:rRNA from 1 species